AAAACAAAAUUAAAACGAAGAGCAUACCCCCCAUUGCGUGCAAUCGCUCAUUCUCCAAACGUAAAUACUCAGCAGUUGGUAACUCGGGCGACUCGACUGGGUCCGGGUCUGCUGGUGCUGAUGAAAAGGCCGGGUCAUUCUUCGGGAUAGCCACAGGUGGUGAGGGAUCGGGCUUCGGGUUCUCGUCUUGCCUGACCCGCUUAGGCUUAGACUCCGAUGACUCGAUCUGCUUCAGUUUUGAUUUGAGGGAGGAGAGAAUGAAGGAAUGGUGGGUCGGAAUGCCAGGUGUUGCGUUUAUAAGAGGGUAAAUUUUAUUUUCUAGCAAUUGAAGCUUCACCAGGGAAAGAAGGUCUUUUUCUUGGUGAAUUUGAAUUUUGAUCUGUUGCUCUUUUCUCUGGUUGAAUUAUCUGAUGGCUGCGGUGUAGACUGUGUGAUUCUGGGUUUUGGUUGUUUAUCAAGUUAUGUGUGGUGAAGAAAUCAAAUGUCGUAGAUAAAAAGAUUGUUUCAUGGUUUAGAAAGUGAGGGAAAAUCAUCAGUUUCUAAUACUUUAGGCAUGCGAAGAUGGCAACACUUGCAUGGUGGAAUGAAUAGCCUUCAGCAAAGUGGGACAUUGAAAUAUGUGGGGUUCUCAUUUCCAUGAAAUUGUAAAGUUGGAUUUACAGGGGUCAGGAGAGGGUGAUAGUGAGUGGAAGUGGAUGGCUGUCGUUUUGAUAAUCUUACCUCAGAGAGAGUAAUCGGCAUCUCUUCUCGCUGUCCUUCGGCUCAGAUUGGAACUGGUGGAUUAUGGUUUACAUAGGUUUCUAUUAAUUAAUGAAGCUGAAUCCUUUUGAUUGAUUUCGUUGAUAAAAUCUGUUUUUUUUGUCUGUGUAGUCUGUGUUGAACAAGGGCCUGCACCAAGGGCCUGCACCUAAAAGACAUCUUUCAUCAAACCCAUAGCCUUUCCUUUUUCUGAUCAAUGGGGUAUAUUCACUCUUCAUCCUUCUCCUUGAUUCUGUUCUGAUCUCCUUGGGAGGCUAAUCGCUGCAGUUAAAUUAGUUUGGUAUAUGAACUCCAACAUCAACUUCGUCAGCUGGGUAAUGAACUACAGAUCAGAUUAUUCUGGAGAAAUGAUGUAGCUUUGCUGAAUGGUCAUGGUGGAAUACUCAUUGCGAGCUUGGUUUUGACAAAAAUCUCAACUUUAUAAAGUGGACAGUACCAACUUUGAGGGAAAGGCAUAAGUUGAAAUGCUUUUAAAGACUAUAUAGGAAAAAUAAAAUAGAGAAAUUUUAUCUGAUGGCUGAAGUAAUUUUAGGCCUAAUGUAUACUUGGUUGCGUACCAUUUUAGGAUUAAAAAAAAGUGGAGAAGUUAUAUCUACUGAUGUUCAACUUGAUGAUAUUGGAGUUUUUGUACUAUCAGAAGUGAAGAGAGCUAAUAUCUUCUUUUGCUGAACUCUACAUACAGCUGAGAUCUUUAUACUUUCUACAUUAGUACUGUAAGCAUCUUUAUUAUUAAUUUAUGAAUUUUUAUUGAUGUUCUGUUUCAAAUUUUCAGUGCUCGCACCGAUCGACUUCCUUUCAAAUCUAGGAUGCUUGAAUUAUUGCGCAUAUUCCCUCCAUGCAUUUGUGCUUCUUGGUGUGAAGAAUGAAAAACAUUUUUGAGAGGAAAUCCCGAUUUCCGUGUCUCAGCAUAUCAUCGAGCAAGGAGAGGGCCGGACUUGAGAUUUGAAGACCUGAUGCGAGUUCUUGAGAUUUGAAGACUUGAGGCGAGUUCGAAGAAUGGUAAUGGUGCCCCGACGAAUAUAUAUAUUGUGCCACAUAUAGCUUGUUAAUUAGUUAAUCCCA